UCGAUUUCCGAUUGUCGAUUCAGUUUUUGGUUUUUUAGAGUGGAAACGAGUUAUUGUGUAGGCCUUUUGAAAUAGGCAGAACUUGUAGAACAAAAUCAACCCUCAUCGCCUGCUUUAAUUAGAGUGUAUAAUUUCUUGUGUUUAGCAGUUUCCAUUGCUUUCGUUUAAUUUUCCUCUUAAUUUUGUCCGUUUAUUCGCAGCGCGAAUCUACAUCUCAUCUACAAAAUUUCAAUGAACGUGUAAACGAACAAACAAGGCAACAACAAAGCGGUAGGGCUCUUUCAAAUUUAAGUGUCUUAUAAUCCGAUCAUCAAAACAAGGCGAAUCUAUUCAAAGUGGUAGCAUUCGAGCAUGAAUAACAUUUUUUUUUGGCGAAUUUGACGGAAGAGCACAGAAAAUAAACAAACGUUUGCGCGUAGUUAUUUGCUGCUUGUGAAUCAGAGAAAAUAAUUAAAUUUUUAAAUUCAACAAUAAAACAUGAAGUGUUAAAUUGCAUAAGAACGAAACAACUUUUUUUAUUUGCUUCCGCUAUUCUUCCAUUUCUUUUCGAUUGUUGCGUUUCUGUGCUGUCAUCACGGCCUUGGCAGUGCGCAAUCUUGUAUUCUAUCAUUCUUGCUUCGCCACAACAAAUUCAACGUAAAAGAAAUUCUAGAAAUAUUUACUUGCCCACGCUGAAAACACAAAUGCCGAAGAAAAAGCAACACACCAAACGACAGCAAAACAGAAAAUGAUAAAAAGCAAAGAAAGCGCCGGGCAGUGCAACAUAAGUGGAUGGUAUGUAAGGCGAAUAGAUUACAGAAGGUGGUGUCUUCUGAAAACACAACUUUUUCUCCCGAUUUUAACAUCUGGCUACCUCUGCACUUUAAAUGGCAAAACAAUUAAACAAAACGAACAAAAGAAAGAUAAAUUCUUGUUUGUAAAUGUUUAGCGAAUUACUUGUUAAUAUUCCGAUUUGUUGUUUAUAUGCGGCUGAUGCCGUGGCAAGAAAGUGUGUGUGUCUUACUAGAGUUGAAUUGAAAUUGAUUACUGAGAAUGUAAAGAGAAUCGAAAGAGGACAAAUCGCUUUUAAAGCAUGGAAUCAUAUAAAAACAGUCUAAAACUAAACAGAAACUCCAACAGAGAAUGAGAAAAGUUACUUUCAAGGACUCGUUUUAAACCAGAAGAAGGAGGAGAAAAAAUAAAAAAGCGACUGGUGGCGUUCUACUUUUAGUGGAACGGUGUCGGUCCAAUUUAUCGUAUGGAAGAGAGAAUGGAUGCGGCCAACUACAUUCAGAUACUUCAAAGUGUAAUGCUACCUUUUGCCGAAGAAAAUUUACUGAUGAUUUGAAAAUUUCAAUAAGACAAUGAUCCGAAACAUAAUUCUCGUGUUGCAAAAAUGGUUCCGGUGUUCCGGAUUGGACACCUUCGAGUGGCGAUUUAAAUCGAAUGAAACAUCUUUGGAAGAACGUAAAAAACGCACUCAGUACGCAAAAUAUCAGAAACUUGGAUCGACUAUUUGGAAAGAUCAAGGCAGCAUGGGAAUCCAUUCGAGUUGAGCAUUGUAGAUGUUUAAUAAUGCCAAUUCAAAGGCGCUGUGCAGCGGUAAUAAAGCAAAAAGGAUUUUUAACUAAA